UACAGAGGGGGCAAGCGUUAUUCGGAAUUAUUGGGCGUAAAGGGCGCGUAGGCGGCCGGACAAGUGGAAGGUGAAAUCCCCGAGCUCAACUCGGGAACUGCCCUCCAAACUGUUUGGCUUGAGUCCGGGAGAGGUGAGUGGAAUUCCCAGUGUAGCGGUGAAAUGCGUAGAUAUUGGGAGGAACACCAGUGGCGAAGGCGACUACCUGGCCUGUUCUUGACGCUGAGGCGCGAAAGCUAGGGGAGCAAACGGGG
rnacentral:rRNA from 1 species